GACUGAAAAACAAAAGGGGGUGGGGAGAGAAUAUAUGAGAAUCCGACUUUUUCCUCCUUAUUAGUAGGUGCGUUAGGGAACUACAAGCCGAAUAACAGGCCAGAGCUUCUCACUGAAAAUGGGAGAGUUGUUUUUGUUGCGCUCAUCCCAACAAAAUUAACUCGGAUUUUACUUCUCUGAUUUUUCUUAAGCACCAUCUAUGAUUGGCGAUACUCAGAUGCAACUUCAAAACAGCCCUGUGCGACUGUAGAGCAGCAGUGGACGCGCUCAAGUAUCUCAAGGCGGAUUUUUUCCUGAACCAUCAUCACCCUCCUUGUGGGAGGGAGGCUGAGAAGCCACGUGGGUUCAACGUAAUUGCAAACGGCAGCCUUCAGGAGGCAGGAUGCGAGCACCUGGGCCCGCCCUCCGCAGACCUGUGGUUCCCGCGCGCCUGCGCUGCUCCAGGGGGACCGGCACACGGGCCUCAAACGCCUGCCCCACCCAACCGGUCCAACCCCGCGGGUUCCCAGGGGUGCGAAUUGGGAAGGCACCCGGGGGAAGGAGGGCGAGCUCCGCACACCUCCCCUCCCGUCCGGGACCUCAGCCCUGGGACGCGCCCGGCCGGUGCCCUAGCGCCAUGGGAGGGGGCCAGGGAAGGGGCAGGUCCUGCUCAAAUAGCCCGCAGCCGAACGGCUCCCGCCUGGAGUCCGCACCGGCCAGGAGGGCUCCUGGAACGAGUCCGUGAAAGCCAGCCCGCCGGUUAUAUGCAGCCAGUGGACUUUGGAGAUGGUGGGAAAUAGGAAAGACUAAGAUAAAGCUUGGAAUUAACAGGCUCAGCAAGCAUUUAUGGAGACAGUCCUGGCACUGAAACAUCAUGUAAUUCUGCAACAGCCCGGUGAGGUGUUACCCCACCGCGGGGAUGAGAAAGCGCAGCUUGGACAGCCAGGAGACUUACAGUGUGCGAUGGGGGAGGGGCAGUAAAGUCAGCGUUCAAACCCAUGUCCUCAGCCUCCAGCCUGUGCUCCCAAAGGGGCCGUCAGACGAUAUGGAGGUACCGUGGGUACCCCUGAGAAAGUCAGCCUGGAGGAACAGAUUGGUGGCCACAUACUCCCAGAAAUAGCUCCUGAGGAAGCAACUCAUAAAUCAGGUUUACCCACAAACUCCAGAGGUGAUUCUUCUGGUUUGAGAUGCACCUGCUGGGAGCUUUGGAAC